AACGAACGCUGGCGGCAUGCCUAACACAUGCAAGUCGAACGAAGCCUUCGGGCUUAGUGGCGCACAGGUGCGUAACGCGUGGGAAUCUGCCCCUUGCUUCGGAAUAACAGUUAGAAAUGACUGCUAAUACCGGAUGAUGUCUUCGGACCAAAGAUUUAUCGGCAAGGGAUGAGCCCGCGUAGGAUUAGGUAGUUGGUGGGGUAAAGGCCUACCAAGCCGACGAUCCUUAGCUGGUCUGAGAGGAUGAUCAGCCACACUGGGACUGAGACACGGCCCAGACUCCUACGGGAGGCAGCAGUGGGGAAUAUUGGACAAUGGGCGAAAGCCUGAUCCAGCAAUGCCGCGUGAGUGAUGAAGGCCUUAGGGUUGUAAAGCUCUUUUACCAGGGAUGAUAAUGACAGUACCUGGAGAAUAAGCUCCGGCUAACUCCGUGCCAGCCGCCGCAGUAAUAC
rnacentral:rRNA from 1 species